rnacentral:rRNA from 1 species
AACGUAGGGGGCGAGCGUUGUCCGGAAUUACUGGGCGUAAAGGGGGCGUAGGCGGCCCGGCAAGUCAAGUGUGAAAUCCGGCGGCUCAACCGCUGGGCUGCGCUUGAAACUGCUCUGCUUGAGUACCGGAGAGGAAGGGGGAAUUCCCGGUGUAGGGGUGAAAUCCGUAGAUAUCGGCAGGAACACCAGCGGCGAAGGCGGUUCUCUGGUUGACUUCUGACGCUGAGGCACGAAAGCUAGGGGAGCAAACAGG